CGGCUCGAGUGGUGGCCGAUAUUAUUGAGUCUAAAGGGUCCGUAGCCGGCUUUGCAAGUCCCCUGGGAAAUCCAGCGGCUUAACCGUUGGGCUUCCAUGGGAUACUACAUUGCUUGGGACUGGGAGAGGUAGGAGGUACUCGGGGGGUAGGGGUGAAAUCCUGUAAUCCUCCGGGGACCACCGGUGGCGAAGGCGUCCUACCAGAACAGGUCCGACGGUGAGGGACGAAAGCUAGGGGCACGAACCGGAUUAGAUACCCGGGUAGUCCUAGCCGUAAACGAUGCCCGCUAGGUGUCAUGGCAGUCGUGAAUUGCCGUGGUGCCGUAGGGAAGCCGUGAAGCGGGCCACUUGGGAAGUACGACCGCAAGGUUGAAACUUAAAGGAAUUGGCGGGGGAGCACCACAACGGGUGGAGCCUGCGGUUUAAUUGGAUUCAACGCCGGGAAGCUUACCGGGAUCGACAGUUGUAUGAAGGCCAGGCUGAAGACCUUGCCGGACUAGCUGAGAGGUGGUGCAUGGCC
rnacentral:rRNA from 1 species